rnacentral:tRNA from 1 species
UGGGGCGUGGCCGAGUGGUAAGGCGACGGGUCUUGGGCCCGGAUUCGAAGGUUCGAAACCUUCCGUCCCAG